rnacentral:rRNA from 1 species
GAUCCUGGCUCAGGAUGAACGCUGGCGGCGUGCUUAACACAUGCAAGUCGAACGGAGUUUACAUGAAACCUAGUGAUUGUAAACUUAGUGGCGGACGGGUGAGUAACGCGUGGGUAACCUGCCUUGUACUGGGGGACAACAGUUGGAAACGACUGCUAAUACCGCAUAAGCGCACAGCUUCGCAUGAAGCAGUGUGAAAAACUGAGGUGGUACAAGAUGGACCCGCGUCUGAUUAGCUAGUUGG